AAAAAAUGUUUUAUAAAUACAAAAUUAGUUUUAAUAAAUAUAAAUAUUUUUAUAAAUAUGAAAUCAUCUUUUUAUAAAUACAAAAUAGUUUUUAUAAAUACAAAAAAUAAUAAAAUAGUGUUUAUAAAUCAAAAAAAUGUUUUAUAAAUACAAAAUUAGUUUUAAUAAAUAUAAAUAUUUUUAUAAAUAUGAAAUCAUCUUUUUAUAAAUACAAAAUAGUUUUUAUAAAUACAAAAAAUAAUAAAAUAGUGUUUAUAAAUAAAAAAAUGUUUUAUAAAUACAAAAUUAGUUUUAAUAAAUAUAAAAUAGUAUAAAAAUUAAAAAAAUAGUUUAAAUAAAUCCCAAAAACAGUUAAUAAUUACAAAAAAUAGUUUUAAAAAUAUUUAAAAUGUUAAAUAAUUACAAAAAAUAGUUUUCAUAAUAUUAAAAAUGUUUAAUAAAUAUAGAAAUUUAUAUUUUAUAUAUAAAAUACAUAAAACGUUUUAUAACCACAAAAAAAUGAUUUUAAAUAUUAUAUAUAUGAUUUUUAAUCUUAAAAAAAGUUUUAUAGAUUUUAAAAAUGUUUAAUAAAUAUAUAAAUGAAUUUAAAAUGCAAAAAAUAGAUUUUAUAUACAAAAAACGUUUUCAAUAUAUAUAUAAUUACAAAUUCGAUUUUUAUAACCACAAAAUUAAUAAAAACUAAAAAAAAAAAAUUCAAAUCAAGUGAAAUACAUAAUCAAACUCGAUUUUACACAAAUCUACCAUUCACCCUAGCAAAAUCUAUAAAUCUCAUUCCAAAAUCAUCAAAUCUACUUAAAAACCAUACAAAUCUAACCUAAAAGAGUGGGAUAGGGUUCAUACAUGAGGAUUAGGGUGGAAAUCGCGAGGGAGAAGAGAGAAAGCGCCGUAAAUCGCAAGGGAGAAGAGAGGAGUCGACGAAAUCGCAGGGGAAAGAGAGAGUGCGGCGGAGAGAAAUGGGGAAGAAGGUCGGGCUCGACCUAAUAAAAUGAGGGGUCCGACGGAAAUUAUCCGUCGGAAUUUCCUCGGAAAUAUUUACUAUAUCCGUCGGAAUUUCCUCGGAAAUCAUUAAUUCAAUUUUCGCGAAAUAUUUGGCGGCUUGGUUUACCCGG
rnacentral:lncRNA from 1 species